CCUACGGGAGGCAGCAGUGGGGAAUAUUGGACAAUGGGCGCAAGCCUGAUCCGGCCAUGCCGCGUGGGUGAAGAAGGCCUUCGGGUUGUAAAGCCCUUUUGUUGGGAAAGAAAAGCAGUCGGUUAAUACCCGAUUGUUCUGACGGUACCCAAAGAAUAAGCACCGGCUAACUUCGUGCCAGCAGCCGCGGUAAU
rnacentral:rRNA from 1 species